rnacentral:rRNA from 1 species
GGAGGAUGCGAGCGUUAUCCGGAUUUAUUGGGUUUAAAGGGAGCGCAGGCUGCGAGGCAAGUCAGCGGUCAAAUGUCGGGGCUCAACCCCGGCCUGCCGUUGAAACUGUCCUGCUAGAGUUCGAGUGAGGUAUGCGGAAUGCGUUGUGUAGCGGUGAAAUGCAUAGAUAUGACGCAGAACUCCGAUUGCGAAGGCAGCAUACCAACUCGCGACUGACGCUGAGGCUCGAAAGCGUGGGUAUCGAACAGGAUUAGAUACCCUGGUAGUCCACGCAGUAAACGAUGAAUACUAACUGUUCGGAGGGCGACCUCUGAGUGGUAAAGCGAAAGCGUUAAGUAUUCCACCUGGGGAGU